AUUGAACGCUGGCGGCAGGCUUAACACAUGCAAGUCGAGCGGGGGAAGGUAGCUUGCUACCGGACCUAGCGGCGGACGGGUGAGUAAUGCUUAGGAAUCUGCCUAUUAGUGGGGGACAACAUCUCGAAAGGGAUGCUAAUACCGCAUACGUCCUACGGGAGAAAGCAGGGGAUCGUCGGACCUUGCGCUAAUAGAUGAGCCUAAGUCGGAUUAGCUAGUUGGUGGGGUAAAGGCCUACCAAGGCGACGAUCUGGAGCGGGUGUGAGAGGAUGAUCCGCCACACUGGGACUGGGACACGGCCCAGACUCCUACGGGAGGCAGCAGUGGGGAAUAUUGGACAAUGGGGGGAACCCUGAUCCAGCCAUGCCGCGUGUGUGAAGAAGGCCUUAUGGUUGUAAAGCACUUUAAGCGAGGAGGAGGCUACUCUAGUUAAUACCUAGGGAUAGUGGACGUUACUCGCAGAAUAAGCACCGGCUAACUCUGUGCCAGCAGCCGCAGUAA
rnacentral:rRNA from 1 species